AGCUCAGCAUACUGAGCCUAAACCUCCCUCAAGAGUGGCAAUAGGGGCUUCAUAAGAGACUCACUUUUCGUGUGUGUCUUCCUCUGCAGAACUAAUGACAGAGUCCAUACCUCGAACUCACCAGCUCGGCUCGGUCUGUUCCUUCUGGCUGACUGAGCUCUGUCUGCACCUUGGAGCAGAUAUUUGGGAUUUUCCUUUCCAUUCCCACCACCUACUUGAAAAUGCUUUUAUUUUCUGACAUUUGAUCCUUCUCCCUAAUCGGCAGGCCAGCCCUGUCCAUUACUACUUCAAGUUCUUGUCUCUGGAGGCCUCGGUGAUCUAGAGCUCAGCCUCCUAUACUCACUUUCUAAGGGAAAUGAGGAAAUUUGAAGAUUUCUACUGAAACAAAAGGCUGCUUUUGCACUGAGACACCCAAUCCCAGACCCAGGUACCUGGCUUGCAUCUUCUAAUCACACACAGCAACAUACUCCAACUGAGACUGAGCAUGCUUCGGGGAAAGGCAGUCAUGACAUAGUGUGCCUGGAGAAAGGCCUGACUUAUUUUGGGGUCAUAGUCGGAAAUUUAUACUUACACAAGGGUCAACUAAGGUAUUGUUGUGAGAUUCCAGUAUUCUCUGUUGAAAAAAACAGAAAGAUUGGUACAAUAUUGAGUGUGAUUUUUCAUUAACCCCACAUUUGAACAGACUUCUUUAUUUUUAAGGGAUUCAUGCCACAGCCCUUCUUUUGUUUCAUGUCUGCUUUUAUGGACCUGUACAUCUAACUGAAGAAUAAAAAAGCACUAAAUUAUGUGUCAGUGACAGUUUGGCCCAAUGCAAGUGCCAUUUCCUGGCUCUCACACCCAAGGCAGGCCUUCGUGAAACCAUUCAGGGAGACUGAGCUGGAGCAACUCUAUCGGUCCUCCUACUUCAAGGGGCCUGCAGGCAUGUUUGUCUAAAUUUGGAAGUGUCCAGGUGCAGUGGCUCAUGCCUGUAAUCCCAGCACUUUGGGAGGCCGAGGAGGGCAGAUCACAAGGUCAAGAGAUCAAGUCCAUCCUGGCUAACGUGGUGAAACCCCGUCACUACUAAAAAUACAAAAAUUAGCUGAGUGUGGUGGCGCGCACCUGUAGUGGGCUGAGGGAGGAGAAUCGCUUGAACCCGGGGGGUGGAGGUUGCAGUGAGCUGAGAUUGCACCAUUGCACUCUAGCCUGGUGACAGAGCUAGACUCUGUAAAAAAAAAAAAAAAAAAAAAAAAAAAAAAAAAAAAAAAAAAAAAAAAAAAAAAAAAAAGGAAGUGUCAUUCCAUCCAGAGAAGCUGCAAAGGGAAUCGGCCGACUCUUCCUCCACAGCUCCCAGUGACCACAGGGCCCAGAGUCUUGGACACCAUGCAGGUGUCCCAGGAAUAACUCUAACCCUUUCUGCAGCUCUCCAGGAACACAUCUUUGAAGACAAAAUGCCUCCAAGAUCCCCAGUACUGUAGCUCUUCUCCUGAAGCAACUAUUUCCAGCCUUGAAAGUUAUCAGCUCAGGAGAGGAAGCACUGCAAGCAGCUCCUGGGCCCUGGGGUAUGGUUGCAGAUUCAUCACCUAGCUACUUGUUUGUGGUGUUAUCAUCUUUUUUUCCCUGACAUAUUUUGGAACUUGACUACAUCUGAUAUAUUUCUCAACAUGUGGCAUAUGCUCUGAUUGAGUUUGGUUCACUGCCUGUAAUCCCAGCAUUUUGGGAGGCCGAGGCAGGUGGAUCACCUGAGAUCAGGAGUUCAAGACCAGCCUGGCCAACAUGGCGAAACCCUGUCUUUACUAAAAAUACAAAAAUUAGCUUGGCAUGAUGGUAUGCGCCUGUAAUCCCAGCUACUCGGGAGGCUGAGGCAGAAUUGCUUGAACCUGGGAGGCAGAGGUUGCAGUGAGCUGAGAUCGUAGCACUGUACUCCAGCCUGGGUGACAGAGCCAGACUCCAUCUCAAAAAAGAAAAAAAUAAAUAAAAU
rnacentral:lncRNA from 1 species